rnacentral:rRNA from 1 species
UACUUUGGUGGCGACCGGCGCACGGGUGCGUAACGCGUAUGUAACCUACCUAUAACAGGGGCAUAACACUGAGAAAUUGGUACUAAUUCCCCAUAAUAUUCGGAGAGGCAUCUCUCCGGGUUGAAAACUCCGGUGGUUAUAGGUGGACAUGCGUUGUAUUAGCUAGUUGGUGAGGUAACGGCUCACCAAGGCAACGAUACAUAGGGGGACUGAGAGGUUAACCCCCCACACUGGUACUGAGACACGGACCAGACUCCUACGGGAGGCAGCAUG